UACGUAGGGUGCAAGCGUUGUCCGGAAUUAUUGGGCGUAAAGAGCUCGUAGGCGGUCUGUCGCGUCGGCUGUGAAAACCCGGGGCUCAACUCCGGGCCUGCAGUCGAUACGGGCAGACUAGAGUUCGGUAGGGGAGACUGGAAUUCCUGGUGUAGCGGUGAAAUGCGCAGAUAUCAGGAGGAACACCGGUGGCGAAGGCGGGUCUCUGGGCCGAUACUGACGCUGAGGAGCGAAAGCGUGGGGAGCGAACAGG
rnacentral:rRNA from 1 species